rfam:Arthrobacter sp. ERGS1:01 plasmid unnamed2, complete sequence.
AAAAUGGCCCCUUUCGGGGCCAUUCACACAUCCGAGAACCGCUAG